ACGGAAGGCAGCAGUGAGGAAUAUUGGUCAAUGGACGGAAGUCUGAACCAGCCAUGCCGCGUGAAGGAAUAAGGCCCUACGGGUCGUAAACUUCUUUUGUGGUGGAGCAAUAAGGUUCACGUGUGCAUCGAUGAGAGUACAUCACGAAUAAGCAUCGGCUAACUCCGUGCCAGCAGCCGCGGUAAUACGGAGGCUGCGAGCGUUAUCCGGAUUUAUUGGGUUUAAAGGGUGCGUAGGCUGUUCUUCAAGUCAGAGGUGAAAUACCGGGGCUCAACCCUGGAACUGCCUUUGAUACUGGAGGGCUUGAAUACUGUUGCCGUGGGAGGAAUGAGUAGUGUAGCGGUGAAAUGCAUAGAUAUUACUCAGAACACCGAUUGCGAAGGCAUCUCACGAAGCAGCGAUUGACGCUGAGGCACGAAAGCGUGGGGAUCAAACAGGAUUAGAUACCCUGGUA
rnacentral:rRNA from 1 species